rnacentral:lncRNA from 1 species
GUUGAGACACAUGCUUAGGCUUUAGUCUAGUGAUAAAAAGAACGUGGGAUCAAUUAUCACCUAUCAUUUGUUUAGUUUAUGUUCCUUUUUAAGUAUACCCCACUUUUUGAUUGUUGAAUUCUUUAAUUUUUUUGAUGGUGAUGAGGUUAAAGGUGAGCAAAGUUUCAAUUCUUGUAUUUGUUUCUGUGGAUAUUGUUAAACCAGUAUACUACAAC